rnacentral:rRNA from 1 species
UACAGAGGGGGCUAGCGUUGUUCGGAAUUACUGGGCGUAAAGCGCACGUAGGUGGCUUUGUAAGUUAGAGGUGAAAGCCCGGGGCUCAACUCCGGAAUUGCCUUUAAGACUGCAUCGCUAGAACGUCGGAGAGGUAAGUGGAAUUCCGAGUGUAGAGGUGAAAUUCGUAGAUAUUCGGAAGAACACCAGUGGCGAAGGCGACUCACUGGACACAUAUUGACGCUGAGGUGCGAAAGCGUGGGGAGCAAACAGG